rnacentral:rRNA from 1 species
AACGAACGCUGGCGGCAUGCCUAACACAUGCAAGUCGAACGAAGUCUUCGGACUUAGUGGCGCACGGGUGCGUAACGCGUGGGAAUCUGCCCUUGGGUGCGGAAUAACUUCUCGAAAGGGAUGCUAAUACCGCAUAAUGUCGUAAGACCAAAGAUUUAUCGCCCAAGGAUGAGCCCGCGUAAGAUUAGCUAGUUGGUGGGGUAAAAAGCCUACCAAGGCGACGAUCUUUAGCUGGUCUGAGAGGAUGAUCAGCCACACUGGGACUGAGACACGGCCCAGACUCCUACGGGAGGCAACAGUGGGGAAUAUUGGACAAUGGGCGAAAGCCUGAUCCAGCAAUGCCGCGUGAGUGAUGAAGGCCUAGGGUUGUAAAGCUCUUUUACCAGGGAUGAUAAUGACAGUACCUGGAGAAUAAGCUCCGGCUAACUCCGUGCCAGCAG